rnacentral:rRNA from 1 species
GAUGAACGCUAGCGGCAGGCUUAAUACAUGCAAGUCGAGGGGCAGCAGGGUGUAGCAAUACAUCGCUGGCGACCGGCAAACGGGUGCGGAACACGUACGCAACCUACCCAUAACUGAUGAAUAGCCCUCCGAAAGGAGGAUUAAUACAUCGUAACCUCUUUGAGUGGCAUCACUCGAUGAGUAUAGCUCCGGCGGUUAUGGAUGGGCGUGCGGCUGAUUAGGUAGUUGGCGGGGUAACGGCCCACCAAGCCUGCGAUCAGUAACUGGUGUGAGAGCACGACCAGUCACACGGGCACUGAGACACGGGCCCGACUCCUACGGGAGGCAGCAGUAAGGAAUAUUGGUCAAUGGACGCAAGUCUGAACCAGCCAUGCCGCGUGAAGGAUGAAGGUCCUCUGGAUUGUAAACUUCUUUUAUGGGGGACGAAACCUUUGUUUCUACAGAGACUGACGGUACCCCAGGAACAAGCACCGGCUAACUCCGUGCCAGCCGCCGCCGUAAAAC